CAGAGUUGGACUCUAACCCCAAACCUGUUUGACUAGCACACAGCAAAAACUCAGUUCACCAUUUGUUAAAGCAGUUUCUUCACUUUUUGGACGGGAAUUCUAGGGAGGGGACUUGAGCUACCACAGAGAAAUGCUAUGGAAAUCCAGCGAAGAAAUAUUACAUGCGGAGGAAGUUUCCAUGAAGAAGAUGCUCUGAACGUGGUACACCUGAAGAAGGGCAGAGAAAUGGUUCCAGGGCGAGCUGGGGUCCGGUGUUCACGAGGCCUCCACCCGGCACCUCUUACUGGGUAGAGCAGUAUUCCCCCAUCAGAGAAGGAACCAGGGUGGGAAGAUAUUCAACAGCCCCACAAGGCAAAAUGAGACAAAGAGACACAGACAGACAAGGAGAGAAGGGCAUCCUUCUCCGCAGGGAAAACUCACGCUCAGAGUUGCCAAGUGAACAGCAGCGACUGCGUCUCCACCGGACAGCACAGUAUUUAACUCCACACUCAGAACCUCUCAGCCUCUGGCAUGUGCGCCUUUGGAAGAGGACUGUGGAGGGAACAGAGGACAGCGCAACAUCCAAACCACCCUCCGGUGCUCAGUGGAGAGGCAUAAACCACACCUGUGGCUCGGCCAUGCGAACGCACAGCCUUCCUUUCAACAGCGGCUUACAGUUCAGGAAGGUGAGGAUGACUCCCAAGGAGCAAAGGCGAGCAUCCUCCAGCCCCCCACGGAGGCAGCGGGUGUCUCUGGGUUCACUGGGGAAGGUCGCGCAGCGCUGGUCCAGGCCUUACCCACAUCAGGACAGAGAAGCGCUGCGUAUUCCUUGGUUACAAACGGUCACAUGUGUUCCUCCGCCCUAGUGAGGGAUUCCUGCGCCCCCGCCCAGCCAGGCCCCAGUUCUCGUCUGCCUCUGUAGCUGGUCUCUCUUUGUUCUUCCGCUCCUGUAGGCAAACCGUAUUUUUGAGACAUUGUUUCAUCUGGUUCUGCCUCAGGGAAAUCCCUCCUCUUCUUCCAUACAAGCAAAGAGUCCGCCCCCUGCCCCUCACCCCCAGGGGGUUGUUGGGUCAGAAGCUCCUGGGGUUCUGAGAUGUAACCCCCUGAAGAGAUGCUAGAGCCUGUGAGGCAGACAGGUCAUCUCUGAGGACAAUAUAGCAAAUCGGGGGUGGAGGAGUUCCCCACUCAAGGGGAGGAAAGGUCUCCCUAAGCUACAGGAAGAGAGAGUAAUGAGAGGAGAGUCCUGAGCGGGCCUCAGAAGAACCACAGACACACACGUGUACACAUGUGCACAGAUGCACAUGUGCCAGAACCAGACACAGACACUCACGGACACAUACUCGGACAUUCACAGGACACACACGCACACCUGUUCCACAAUAUUUCUUGGGCACGUGGGUGGUGGCUUGUGGGUGGUGUCCAAGCCCAUGUGAGGCCUGGGAAGCCUCACUCAAAUCUUAUGUCCCAUAAAACCAACUUCUAACAAAAGGAAGACAAAUUUAAAGAAUUAACAACUGUAGUGGUUUAUGCAUCUUCUACUAGUUUCCAAAGCAGUCUCUCUCCUGACUCUGUCAAGUGUAAGACGUUCUCUUAGGGUAACUGGUUAUGAUGCCUUUCAGAAACAAGGCAUCGAACUGGCAUUACACCCUCCAGGGGCUUGGGGGAGAAACACAGAUGAGACUGGCCAGCAGGACCGCACCUGGAGCCCCGUUCUAACUGCGAAUGGCAUGAUUAAAAGAGGCCAGGUAAUAGCUCUCCUGCUGUACCCGGGGUCUUCUCUUACUUAGGUGGUUCUCUUCAAUGUAAUAUGCUCACUUUAGCCAACCCAGUGCACAGUCAAAUCGGACAGACCGAGGUGGAGAAACUCACAUGGCCACACUGGGUUAGCAUCACCUUUGCGUCCACAUAGCGGCCAUGAGGUCAGUGGGAGGUGCCUGUCACAAGGUGCAUUAUUAACCUUGGUGCCCAUCUGCUGUAACCAGAGUGACCCAGGUCUGCCCCGGGAGUCCUGGUUUUCUACUGUUGAGCCAACACAAGCGUGAGUAGUGCCCCUUGCUACUUUCACAUGUGUUGCCAUUUGGACAACAAAUUAGAGCUUCUUUUUGUCUCACUGACUCUCGUGUCCGCACAAACUUCGCUGCUUGCCCAUUUUCAGGCUGUGCUGGGAUCCUGCCACAGAGAUGAUGGAGCAGGGAGGACAGCUCUGAGAGUCCUCUGAUCAGGGAAUUCGUGGGGACAUCCACAGUAAACAUAAUGCCGCCUUAGCUCUCCACCAUGAGUACUGGAGGAGACUUAGGGACUUUUUGAAAUUUUUCUAAUUAAUUUCUUACAUGGGCAAAUACUGUUGCUGUUGCCACACGACAAGUGAUGAAGCUUAAAUUAAGUUACUUAAAAAAUGUCUGAGGAUUCCCCUACUUGAUGAUGAGCAUACCAAAAGUGAUAGCCUUAAAAACACCUAAAAAAACAAAGUGUUCACUCUAUCUUCAAGGUGUUUCAGAUCUAUCGUGAGAAAGCACAGGAAAAUGAGGGGGAAAAGUAAGAAAUGGUAAAUGACAGAUACAGGUUGAUAAUACGCCAACAUGUUGAAAAACCUCUCUCAAGGUUACAUAAUAAAUAUGUGUAAGAGUUACCAAUAGAGAAAGUAGACAGAAAAUAAACCUUUAUCAAGCACAUAGCAUCUGCCGAUAUGUGCCAACUGUAGGUCUCAUUGCACUUAAUUCCCAUCUCAAGCCUGUAAUGACAAUCAGACGUCUUGCAGGUUGAGCUACAGAGCCUGAGACACUAAGUGACUUGCCCAAGGCCCCCAGCGUCUGCACCAGGUCUACUGCAGCCAAAGCUGUGUUCUCGCUCCUGUGAGACUCAAAAUGCCCUCAGUUCCUUUAGCCCAGGGCAGAAAUUGGCCAAUAUCAGGAAUUCAAUGAGUUUCAAAACUCAGAGGAAAUAGAUUCAAAAUUGUAUAAAAUAUACAACAAAAACCCAAAGAUUUUUAAAUGAGACUUAGAAAAGAAAAAACUCCAAUGAAAUAAAAAGACUGCUGUUCCACAUUUCCAAAAGCAAAUUCCCAUGCAGCUGUGCAGGAUUGGGGGUGGGGGAGGGGCGAUUGCGUAAAAAGUCAUAUUGCUCCGGAAGUCCAGCCGGCUGGGCUUGCAGAAUUCCCCAGGAACGCCUCCUGCAGAAUGCACUCCUCUCUACUCGCUGUUUCCCUCCAGCUGAUGGCCACAAAUCCCCAGACACGGCCAUUGCUUUGUCAUCAGGAAGGAAAUUGCUGGGAGAUGGAUGAAAGCUUCAAAGCAUUCAAAACACAAAUGAUUUUGCCCUGGGACCAAUUUGAUUUGCCCCCAACUUAUCAAAUACUUUAAAGUUACAAAGGAAGGUGCUGGAAGGAGGACAGGGAGCCGAGGGGGACAGUUAAGGCAUGCAUCCUGACCUUGAACACCUUACAAUCCAGUAGGAGAGAGGAGGUACAAGAUUACAAGUCAUAAGGUGAUGAGCCAAAGUGAAGUGCAAACGAAGAGCUAUGAAGACUCUAGUGACAAGUGACAUUCACCUCUAAUCAUUCUCUCUCUCCUGCAGGUAUCAAUGACCAUACUGUUAAAAAGGAUUCAUCCAAACCCCCCAUGUUAUGACGUAUGUGCAGAAUCACCACACACAUACAAACAGAGAGUGGAAGAGUGCUUGUUGGAGGCUGGGGGUGGGGGGCAGGGCAUGGGGAGGAACAGGGAGAGUUCGGUGCAAACUCUGUUAUAAGAUGUGUAGGGUCUGAGGAUCCAAUGUCACCUGGUGACUACGAUUGAUUAACACUGCGUUGUGUAAUUGAAAUUUACUGACAGAGUAGAACUUACAGGUUCUCACACACACACAAGGUAAAUUUGUGAGGUGGUCGAUGCAUUAAUUAAUUCAAUGAGGGAAAUCACAAUUAUUUAAACAUCUCAUUUUUCGUUUGUCAAUUAUAGUUCAAUGAAUCUUUAAAAAAGGUGUGUGGGCUCUUAACAUCGUCCACAAUUUUCUCACUGGUUCAUUAUAACAACAUAAUUUUUUUAAAAUAAAAUUGUUAGAAAAGUGCUUUGAAAACACUAUUUUAGUAUAACUAAUGAAAGCUAACAUUUGCAAAGAAAAACAAGGUCCCAGUUAACCAUUUAAUGCAAAUCCCCACUGCUCAGCUGCUCCCUGGGUCGGGCUGAAGUGUGUGCCUCUGAUGAGAACUCACUGAAGUUGUGACUUUGCUUCCCCUACUCCCCCCGUGUCUGCGUCCUUCCUGCCUGGUCUCCGGUCUGGUCUCUGCUUCCAGCCCAGCCCAGGCUCUCUCUGCUGCUCAGGCUCAACUGUCUCUGAUGAUCUCAUGUACACUCAUGGCUGUAAUUCUCUGCUGACCCAAAGUUAAGCCUCCGGCUCAGACAUCUCUGAGCUCCAGACUCAUCUAUCUGCCUGCCCAGGGGAUAUUUCCACUUGGAUAGCUGUAAAGUCUGUCCAAAGGAACUCACUAGUUUCCUUCUCUUCCGAAGAACGGCUCUGCUUCCCUCGCCCCUGUUGUCAUCCACUGCGUUACUCAGCCAGAACAUGGUUAUCUGCUGGGCACGUCCUUCCCCAUCCUCCCUGUAGCCAACACUCUAACCUUCACUCCACUCAAUUAGACUAUAACAUAAGAGGGAAGGAAACUGGAGGAUAAACUUACACACUUACUUGUCAUGUUCCCACGUGGUUGGCUGUUGUUCAUUUCUGAUCUAAGUAACCUGCCGAUCUCUUUUCUCUUUGUAAAGAGAACAAAGGAAGUUGGAAUCUAUAUAGAUAAGCAUUUUCCUAACUGGGCUGGCUAUUUCCAAGAGGUUUUAAUGGACGGUAUUUCUUUUAAAAAAAAAAGUGGAGUUGAUUUCUACAUUGGCAAGAUUGUAUUCUGACCUGUUUUCCAGACCUUCCCCCUUCACCCCUGACCCCCUGGGUUUGAGCUUCUAGGUAAAUGUUACUCCAUAAUGACAUUUCACUGUGACCCCAAGAAACGAAGGAGGCGAUUCCACCUGGUUAUAACACACUGACAGUAUGAUGUGUG